rnacentral:lncRNA from 1 species
AACUUCCAUUGAGAAAAUGCCUCCACAAGACUUACUUGUAGCAUGCACCUUGCCUGUGGGUGCAUCUACAGUUACCUCUCUUCCCGAGUCACUGGAGUCCUCACAGAAAGAAGGCAACAAGAGCUACAGCCAGGAUUUCAAAGGCUCCCUGAGAAGAGGAAAGUGGUGAGGUCACCAGCCGAGGAGUGGAUGGGGAGAAGAGAGAACGGAAACUCAUUGAGAAAUACAUUGUGUCAGCUGGGAAACCGGACAGGGUCAUUGGCCACCAGGCCACGAGGACAAAGGGAGCAGAAUCGAUGAACAGGAUUUCAGAUGGCCGGAAAAGAAAAAAGGCAGGAAGUAACACAACAAGCUCAGAAGAAAGUCUCGCCAACAGAUGGAAUGAAAUGGAAGAGAAAAUGUCAAGUCUUGAAGACAAAGUAGAAAAAUGGAUCGAUCAUCCAAAGACUAUGUGAACUAUAAAUUAAAAAUCUAGGCAUUCAGGGAAUCUGGGACAGUAUGAAGAGACCAAAUCUAUGAAUAAUUGAUAUAGAGGAAGGAGAAGAAACUCAAGUGAAAGCCACAGAAAAUAUCUUUUAACAAAAAUCAUAGAAUAAAAAAUUUCAAAUCUAAAGAAAGAGACUCCUAUCAAAAUGCAUGAGGUAUACAGAACACCAAACAGAUAGGACCAGAAAAGAAACUCUCUUUGGCAUAUAAGUGUACAGAACAAAGAUAUGGGUAAAAAAAGAAGUCACCUAUAAAGACAGGGUCGUUAGAAGAGCCUCUCAGUGGACUUUCAAUAGAGAUUUUGGAAGCCAGAAGGGCCUGGGCAGACAUUCUACAAGUUCUGAAAGAUGACAUAAUGCCAGCCCAGACUACCAUGCCCAGCAAAACCAUCAAUCUUAAUUGAAGGAGAAAGAAAAACUUUUCAUAAUAAAAACAAAUUUAAGGAAUUUAAAUCUAUCAGCUCUACAGAAGGCACUAGAAUGACAACUUCAGUCUGAUCAGGUUAGCUACAUCCAAGAGGACACAAGAAAUAAGUAAUCCCUGGACAGUUUACCAAAAGAAGCCAGAUCACCGGAGGAGAGUGAACCCCUUUGCCUUAAUAAAAUCUCAUGUGUCAAGAAGUAAUUUGGCAAAAGAAGUGGCUCCUCUUCACCAUGGUUUAUUUCAGGAGAUUUGAGGGAACCGUCCCAGGCACAGUUCAGGCUGAAGAACUGCAGAGAACUUCCCAGGUGGGUGAAAAUGAUAACACUAACUACAAACAGAAGCAAGGCCGAGGCAAAUGAACACGGUCUGAAACUGGGAGUUCCAAUCAGAAAAUAAUAGCUUUCUGAUUUCCCAUGAUGCGUGUACUCCAGGAAGUUGUCAAACAACUCACAUCAGAGAGAGGGGGGGGGGAGAGGGAGGAGAGAGGAAGAGAAAGAGGAAGAGGAGGGAGGAAGAAGAGGAGAUGAGAGAUGACAGUUUUACAGACAUGUUGAAGAGAGAAUAAGCUAGACACCGGCGAAGAGAGAAUGAGCCAGAGAAUGAGAAGGAGCCAGAAGAUUAGAACAGGUUGCUUGAGUUAGUUUGAGGCCAAGCGGAGCAAUUCAGUCAGAGGCUGAGAGACAAGUCACACUGAAUCAGUUUGAGCCAGAACACCUGAAUUGAUCAGCCAACCAGAGCGCAGAAGGAAUUAGAAAGGGUGAGGUUAUUCAAUAAGUCUCAAAGGCUGAUAAUAUUCUAGGCCUAGAUAAGAUUGUAAGAAGGCUAGAAGCUUCCAAGAUUAGGCCUAGGCAGAUGCAGUAGUAAACCUGGGAGAUGACAAUUCAGGCAAAUAAAAAUGAUUUCCCUCUGUCCCAUUGGACAUCAGACCACUGUGUCUGAAACCAAG